UACGGAGGGAGCUAGCGUUGUUCGGAAUUACUGGGCGUAAAGAGCGCGCAGGCGGUCGUUCAAGUCGCGUGUGAAAGCCCCCGGCUCAACUGGGGAGAGUCACGCGAUACUGAUCGACUCGAAGGCAGGAGAGGGUAGUGGAAUUCCCGGUGUAGUGGUGAAAUGCGUAGAUAUCGGGAGGAACACCAGUGGCGAAGGCGACUACCUGGCCUGUUCUUGACGCUGAGGCGCGAAAGCUAGGGGAGCAAACGGG
rnacentral:rRNA from 1 species